rnacentral:rRNA from 1 species
GGACUACACGGGUUUCUAAUCCUGUUUGCUCCCCUAGCUUUCGUUCCUCAGCGUCAGUGAUGGUCCAGCGAGCCGCCUUCGCCACGGGUGUUCCUACAGAUAUCUACGCAUUUCACCGCUACACCUGUAAUUCCACUCGCCUCUCCCAUACUCGAGCACGGCAGUUUCGGAAGCAGCCUCCGAGUUAAGCCCAGAGAUUUCACUCCCGACAUACCGCACCGCCUACGAACCCUUUACGCCCAGUAAUUCCGAGCAACGCUGGCCCCCUACGUCUUACCGCGGCUGCUGGCAC